rnacentral:rRNA from 1 species
AGCGAACGCUGGCGGCAGGCCUAACACAUGCAAGUCGAACGAACCUUUCGGGGUUAGUGACGGACGGGUGAGUAACACGUGGGAACGUGCCUUUAGGUUCGGAAUAACUCAGGGAAACUUGUGCUAAUACCGAAUGUGCCCUUCGGGGGAAAGAUUAAUCGCCUUUAGAGCGGCCCGCGUCUGAUUAGCUAGUUGGUUGAGGUAAUGGCUCACCAAGGCGACGAUCAGUAGCUGGUCUGAGAGGAUGAUCAGCCACAUUGGGACUGAGACACGGCCCAAACUCCUACGGGAGGCAGCAGUGGGGAAUCUUGCGCAAUGGCCGAAAGCCUGACGCAGCCAUGCCGCGUGAAUGAUGAAGGUCUUAGGAUUGUAAAAUUCUUUCACCGGGGACGAUAAUGACGGUACCCGGAGAAGAAGCCCCGGCUAACUUCGUG